rnacentral:rRNA from 1 species
UACAGAGGUCUCAAGCGUUGUUCGGAUUCAUUGGGCGUAAAGGGUGCGUAGGCGGCCAUGUAAGUAGGGUGUGAAAUCCCCCGGCUUAACCGGGGAACUGCGCCCUAAACUGUGUGGCUUGAGUGAGAUAGGGGUGUGUGGAACUUCCGGUGGAGCGGUGAAAUGUGUUGAUAUCGGAAGGAACGCCGGUGGCGAAAGCGACACACUGGGUCUCAACUGACGCUGAGGCACGAAAGCCAGGGGAGCGAACGGGG